UACGUAGGUCCCGAGCGUUGUCCGGAUUUAUUGGGUUUAAAGGGUGCGUAGGCGGAUUGAUAAGUUAGAGGUGAAAUGUCCGAGCUUAACUCGGGAACUGCCUCUAAUACUGUUGAUCUAGAGAGUAGAUGCGGUAGGCGGAAUGUAUGGUGUAGCGGUGAAAUGCUUAGAGAUCGUACAGAACACCGAUUGCGAAGGCAGCUUACCAAUCUAUAUCUGACGUUGAGGCACGAAAGCGUGGGGAGCAAACAGG
rnacentral:rRNA from 1 species